rnacentral:rRNA from 1 species
AACGAACGCUGGCGGCAUGCCUAACACAUGCAAGUCGAACGAGAUCUUCGGGUCUAGUGGCGCACGGGUGCGUAACGCGUGGGAAUCUGCCCUUUGGUUCGGAAUAACAGUUGGAAACGACUGCUAAUACCGGAUGAUGACGAAAGUCCAAAGAUUUAUCGCCAGAGGAUGAGCCCGCGUAGGAUUAGCUAGUUGGUGUGGUAAAGGCGCACCAAGGCGACGAUCCUUAGCUGGUCUGAGAGGAUGAUCAGCCACACUGGGACUGAGACACGGCCCAGACUCCUACGGGAGGCAGCAGUGGGGAAUAUUGGACAAUGGGCGAAAGCCUGAUCCAGCAAUGCCGCGUGAGUGAUGCAGGCCUUAGGGUUGUAAAGCUCUUUUACCCGGGAUGAAAAUGACAGUACCGGGAGAAUAAGCUCCGGCUAACUCCGUGCCAGCCGCCGCGGUAA